rnacentral:rRNA from 1 species
CCUACGGUGUGCAGCAGUGGGGAAUAUUGGACAAUGGGCGAAAGCCUGAUCCAGCCAUGCCGCGUGUGUGAAGAAGGCCUUCGGGUUGUAAAGCACUUUCAGUGGGGAAGAAAGCCUUGGGGCUAAUACCCUCGAGGAAGGACAUCACCCACAGCAGAAGCACCGGCUAACUCCGUGCCAGCAGCCGCGGUAAUACGGAGGGUGCGAGCGUUAAUCGGAAUUACUGGGCGUAAAGCGCGCGUAGGCGGUCUGAUAAGCCGGUUGUGAAAGCCCCGGGCUCAACCUGGGAACGGCAUCCGGAACUGUCAGGCUAGAGUGCAGGAGAGGAAGGUAGAAUUCCCGGUGUAGCGGUGAAAUGCGUAGAGAUCGGGAGGAAUACCAGUGGCGAAGGCGGACUUCUGGACUGACACUGACGCUGAGGUGCGAAAGCGUGGGUAGCAAACAGGAUUAGAUACCCGAGUAGUC